rnacentral:rRNA from 1 species
GACGAACCGAGCGAACGUUGUUCGGAAUAACUGGGCUUAAAGGGCGCGUAGGCGGGCUGUCAAGUCUGGGGUGAAAUCCCGCGGCUCACCGUGGAACUGCCUCAGAUACUGACGGUCUCGAGGGAGGUAGGGGCGAGCGGAACUGUGAGUGGAGCGGUGAAAUGCGUUGAUAUUCACAGGAACUCCGGUGGCGAAGGCGGCUCGCUGGACCUCUUCUGACGCUGAGGCGCGAAAGCCAGGGAGCAAACGGG